CGGGACGUGGCGCAGCCUGGUAGCGCGCUACACUGGGGGUGUAGAGGUCGCAGGUUCAAAUCCUGUCGUCCCGAC
rnacentral:tRNA from 6 species